UAAAGCAUGAUACCGUAUUCAUUUAGGUCUUGAUCGUGUAACAUAUUCUCGAUCGCUACCGACCUUUUUCAAGAUAUGGCUUCCCUUCUCUUACGUCACCCACAGGUGGCAAUUGAUUUUGAAAAUGAUAAUUUCAAUGUACGUAAGACCAGCAAAUAUUUUUCUUAUAAAACAAUUGAUCAGACAAAAAAACUCAAAAUCAUACAAUUGUAAAGGGCGAUGUGUUGUCAUAGGUUUAACCGAAGACCCCAUUUAGACGUAUUAAUGGUAGCUGG
rnacentral:lncRNA from 1 species